UGUUCAUUGCAUUGGAGGGAGAGGAAAACUCUUUGUGAGAAGCAAGGAUUGAAGAGAAGGCUAUGAGCCAGUGAGAAAACCUGAACUUUAGUUUUUUAUUUAAGAAUUGAUGAAGGAUAUGUCAUAUGUUCAGUUACUUACAUAUUCUCUAUGGUGUAUGUACCUGUUGUUCAUUGCAUUCGAGGGAGAGGACAACAAGAGUAAGAAAGUCUUGCGGCGUGAAGGUAGUAGCACGCAGCGCCAAGUCAAGCGCAUUGGCCUCGAUGGCAAGAGACCAGUACCAUCAGGUUCGCUUGACUGCUUGCUAGCCCGGCAUUGAACAAUACCCUUAAUAAAGCUACAUGGUGUACGCUAAUUGUCAUAUUUUGACCAACAAAUCUGUCUGAAUAGAUUAUACAAGAUUGAUGUGAUUAUCAGAUGAUUGCAGUCUACCCCAGGAGUAUACGAGAAAGAAGUGCUACUGCUACAUUACUACUGCUUGCCAAGGGAAAAGAGAGUUCCAUUGUAAAAUGAGAUGCCAGAGAUUUGCAUAGAUCAAUGAGGAUUCGUGCGGCAGGGAGGGGACUGGUGAUAGGAAACAUGGGUCCAAGAAGAAAUCAAAGAGCAUGGUAUUAUUCAAUCCAUCAGUAGCCAGCGGAUGUCGUGCUGUGAUUAAGACUACAAGGCUGUAACGCUCAUCCCAACAUCGACUUUCGACCGAAGUUACACCAAUUCAAGAGGGAGGUUGUUCCACCAUAACAUGCAUUAGUGGAGUCAUACUUCCUCAAUGUCAGUAUUACCACUU